rnacentral:snRNA from 1 species
GUGCUCACUUCAAGUACAUAUAUUAAAUUUAGAACUAUACAGAGAAGAUUAGCAUGGCCCUUUGUGUAGGGAUGACAUGCAGAUUCAUGAAGCCUUCUAUAUUUUU